CUUUUAAGUUUAUUUUCCCAGGUGUUUUGUCACAGAGAUGGAAAGCUCACAGCACUUCAGCUUUGUGACUGUGACACCUGGCAGACCAUGUUACUUCCCUGACCUUCGGUGUCCCUAGCUGUGAAAUGGCAUCACUGACCUGCUUAGGAUGAAAUCAAAUGAGAAAAUGGACAUGAACAUUCUUUGCUCUUGUUAAAGCUCUGAGUGAUUCCACAUGGAAUGCUGCAGGCUCUGAAUCAUUUUGAUGGAUACAACUUGACAUCGACCAAUUUGCCUAAUUCAUCACCUUUGCAUGCUUUAAUACUAAAGACAAGGUAGGAAGGUUUUCCAACUGGCUUUGUGAUUUCUUUUCUCCUCUCCUCUAGCAUCAAUGG
rnacentral:lncRNA from 1 species